ACCAUAUUUAACAUAUAAUUCUUUUUCAACCCUUCCUUCAUCUGUCCUCCUCCUUUCAGUACAUCGAACUAUUUUAUCCCUAUUUCCAAAAAGCCCCCAAGUCUAGGGUUCUCAUCCACCUGAAAGUCCCUGCACCACCAUUUCUGCAAAUAGGAGUAAAGGAAGAAGAUCAACUGCUAUAGAGAAAGUAAUUCAGUUGCUGAUGGCUUUGCUAAAAUGGGCGCUAAAGGUAUAACUGGUUCCUGGACUUUGUUAUCCGAGUUGCCGGCUUCCAUUAGAGGUAACAUUAGGCUUGACAGAGGGGGUCUUCCCUAUAUUCGGAAAGUUCGUCGUAUUUGCUAGGGGGCUUCUCUCUAGGUAUGUUUUUCUUGCCUUGGUUUAAGUUCUUAUUGACUUUAUGUUCGUGCAGGUUUUUUCUCGCAGGUUGCUUCUUUGUGUUUUGGUCUUGUUUUUCUUUUGGUUUGGUCUUGUUGUUGAGUUUCUUUUGUUUUCUUGAGGUCUGGUUUUGGUCUUAUUUUAUACUUGUAUCCCCAGGCCUCCGAUUGUAACCACGGUUUUCCUCAGCCACAAGUGAGGGUUUAUUAAUAAAAUUGGGAUGGGGUCACAAUUGGACA